UUCUCAUUGUGGUGUGAACGCUUUAAGUUGGUUAUGCUAAAUGCCCUCGGGUAGUAUAUCUGGAGUGGAUGGUGAAGUUUACUCUUAGUGAAAUGAAGAAAAAUGAGACACAUACUGUAUAGCAUGUUUCCUUCUUGGGUUUCUUAGUUCUUCUACUUGACUUUUUUUUUAACAUUUAUUAUUUUAAGGUGUUUAUGACAGCAACAAAUCACAACAAGUAGACUAGAGGCUUAAUAAAAGAGGCAAUAAUGAUUGCUGUAACACUUGACACAGAAGCCAGCGGAAUAUAUCUGCGUAGUCGGAGGUUUUUAAAAAUGGCAUUUUCUUAAGGAGCAGUGAGUUUUGAAAGCUUAGUAGAGAGUGUGAGAAAGAAGGCAUAAAGGGGGGGGGGUUGAAGGAGCCCUGCCGCUGUGAGCUUCUCUGCUGACUCAGGAGAAAGCUGAAAGAUUAAGGUUUUAUGGAAAGGAGCAGGGGAAAGAAGGAGGGAGAGAGAAAAAAGAGAAGGAGAGAAGAUCAGCGUGAAGUGACGGGCCCAAGCAUCCGUUCCUUGCCAUUGUUUGAAAGUACUGGCGCUCGUUCAGCUUGUAAGAGUUUAGGAAUGACACAAUGCUUUGGUAUUUGGAUGUGAGAGUUGAGCUGUACUGUAUUUCCGCCUGUGAAUAAUCUGGACGCUGAGAUUCACCCCCUGCAGAGACUGGGAUAUUCCCCGGCCAUAGAAAUGCACUUUGAAAUGGUUAUGGUCAAUUAUUAGUGCACUGAAUAUCAGAAUGUGUAUUGAAGCAGAUGAUGACUGGGCUUUUAAAAAGUUUGGAGUAUGAAGAGUAUGAAUUUUAUUUAUAUUGUUUUCCAAUUUGAAGGCAUUUCCUUUUCUUUUCCAAUUUUUUUUUUGUGUUGUAAAUUCGUCAGUUUUAUAGUCUGUUGAAACGAGCGUAUGUUUAUGGUCCUUGAUGAAGAAGGUGAGCUGUGUACACUUGUGAGAGGGCUGUUGACUUAUUGAGAUCACUCUCGAGUUGAGGUAACCAGGCUGAAUCAGUUGCUAAGUUAAGAAUGUUGAGUCAUGUUGUGCUAGGUAUCUUUAAAUAAGAGAAAGACCCCUGCUUUAGAAGACAGCUGAGUAACCUGAGUCCAUCUCCCCCCGGAUCACCUCUCUGACUCCAUCCUGACUCACCCUCCAGCUCUUGUGUUUAGGAGAGAGGAAUUCCCCAUCGCUGACCUGAACCCCCCCACACUCUCCUGGGGGGUCUGAUGGACAGGAGCUGCUCCUCAUCCUCAUUCUCCCCAUAAUCAUGCACACAUGGAUGUCAGCGUCAAACUGUGUCAAAGUUGCGCUGAUCUGAGACCAAACUCAAUCCUUUUGGUAACAUUACUCAUUGUGGUCCAAAAGUAAUUCAAGUUUUAAGAACAAAAAAGGUCGGCAGGUGUGACCUUUGAUCAAUAGAACGUUUUAUAUUAAUAUUUAAAAAAGAAGUGAAAAGGGCUCCUCCAAAACAGGAGGCUUUGUAUUUAUAUUAAUGUUAUGCAAUGUGUUGCAAACCAUGUAUUAGCAUUAAAUGAAUUAAUGGUUUCCAGUUGCACUGUUUAACUCUGUAAGAGCCAGUUUGUUAGAUCAAAUCUAAAAUAUUGUCUUUUAAAUAACAUAAAUGGUACGGCCAUUGUCUCCACUGAAGAUCAUUCUCUUAAAUGUCUUUUGAAAUAGCCAAGACAGCUUCUUUCAUAUAAAGAUAUAUAAUCUGAAUAAUAAUUUAAACAAGGAAGAAUUUAAUACAAAUGUGAGCAUAGAUUUGAUCAUUUCUUUUUCCUCAGGAGAAAGUUUUAAAGCUUAAGGAGAGUUUUUUUUCUACAUUCUGAAAAAGAUCCAAUUAAACCAGCCUAAGAUUGCUUGCUGGUCUGAGCUGGUUUAGGCUGGUAUUAUCUGGUUAAAGUUGGUGUUUAGCCAGAAAUGUGGCCAAAACCAAUCUACAGCCACCUAUUUGGGAUCAACAAAGACCAGCAAGGAGUUCAUGCCUCCUUGAGUUUAUGGCCCUCGUCGCUGUUUUUGAACUUGAGGAAUGACUGAUUGAGGUCGCAGUGACGCUCUGCACUUGAAAGGAAUCAUCGAGUUCGAUUGAAGCCUGUCAUUUUUGGAUUUAUUAUCUGGGGUCAGCAGGAUUCUGGACAUGUUUAUGCAGUAAUGAAGGUCCUUCGCUGAAGAGGAAAGUCCUUAUGAAAAUUCCCUGUGUCCUUGUUACACUCACGUUUAUCUCUUUUUGACGGCCGAGCACUGUAAAUCACACCGUAAAGAUCGCACAUCAGCAUUGUGUUGCCGUGGAAAAACAUUGGCAGUAAACCAACACUUAGUCGUAGCCUGUAGCUACAAGAAUCAGAGCUGUUUUUUUUUUUCUUUUUGAAGAGGGUGUUACAGCUUCACCCUUCCAGGAAAGGAGGGGCAAAGGUGUCUUUGUGUGUUUUUCAGUGAACAGGAGUGAAAUGGAUGAUGGAUGAGUGAUGUGAAGUGCACAUAGGAAUGCAGUUGUGUUUGUGGGAUUUGGAUUGUGUGAUUUUUGUCUGGCUGUGAAUCACAGAGUGUGUCUGCAGUAGGGGAAGCACCAAUCAACAGUGUCGUCUGCAUGCAUGUGUUAGUGCUGACUGUACUGAGGACAGGAAAUAAAAAAGACAUGCAUUAUGGAAGUGUAAGUGUGUGUCCGGUGGGAUGUGAGGUGGGCUGAAGGUAUGGAAUGUGGGCAAAUAUCUGUGUGAAAUUGAAGCUGUGGAAUGUGUUAGGAAUGAAAGGAUGGGCCUAAACUUGCACUAAGAAUGCUACAAACUCACAUUGACAUUUCUAAAUAUGACAUACCAUAGAUUUCUAUGUAUGUAUACUAGGAACUCUACUGUUCAAAAGUUCGGGGUCAGUAAGAUCAAACAUGACAGUAAAGACCAAAUAGUAUCUUUACAAAUCAAAAUAUUAUAUUAUAAAAGAUUUCUAAUUCAAAGAGAACUUGUUAA